UACGGGGGGAGCAAGCGUUGUUCGGAUUUACUGGGCGUAAAGGGCGCGUAGGCGGCCACGACAAGUCACUUGUGAAAUCUCCGGGCUUAACUCGGAACGGUCAAGUGAUACUGUCGGGCUAGAGUGCGGAAGGGGCAACUGGAAUUCUCGGUGUAGCGGUGAAAUGCGUAGAUAUCGGGAGGAACACCUAUGGCGAAGGCAGCUCGCUGGGACGUUACUGACGCUGAGACGCGAAAGCAUGGGGAGCGAACAGG
rnacentral:rRNA from 1 species